AACGAACGCUGGCGGCGCGUUUUAAGCAUGCAAGUCGAACGGGAUCCAAGGUGCUUGCACUUUGGUGAGAGUGGCGAACGGGUGAGUAACACGUAGAUGAUCUGCCUUAAGGUUGGGGAUAGCUCAUGGAAACAUGGGGUAAUACCGAAUAAGUUUGUGGGAGUAAAUGCCCAUAAGGAAAGGGGCUUAGGCCUCGCCUUAAAGAUGAGUCUGCGCCUUAUUAGCUAGUUGGUGGGGUAAAGGCCUACCAAGGCAACGAUAAGUAGCCGGCCUGAGAGGGUGACCGGCCACACUGGAACUGAGACACGGUCCAGACUCCUACGGGAGGCAGCAGCUAAGAAUCUUCCGCAAUGGGCGAAAGCCUGACGGAGCGACGCCGCGUGUAUGAUGAAGGCCGUGAGGUUGUAAAGUACUUUUGUCAAUGAAGAAUAAGGGUGUAGGGAAUGACCACUUGAUGACGUUAGUUGACGAAUAAGCCCGGCUAAUUACGUGCCAG
rnacentral:rRNA from 1 species